UAUAACACGGUAAGAUUUUUUGGCUCCCGAGGACAGUGUUAUAUCGAGGUAGAGGUGUAAGCGAUAGUGGCUGACCUCUUGGACUGAUUGGAGGCAGGACUCAACCUUACAAUACUAAAUGAGAGAUGGUAGGAAGGGUGGGGAGAGACUGUGAAGGGCCUUGAAAGUGAAGACAAACAGCUUAUGUUUGAUACAAUAAAGAACAGGGAGUCAGUGAAGGGAUUUAAAGAGACGGGUGAGAUGGUCACAAUGAUGGAAUAGGAAAACAAUCUUUGCAGCAGCAUUCUGAAUGGUUAUGAGUGCUACAAGAGAGCAUCUGUCAAGUCCAAAGAACAGGAUGUUGCAGUAACUGAGACACAAGAUGAUGAGAGCCUAGAUGAGAGCUUAAGCUCUGUGGAUGGAUAGGAAAGGUUGUAUCUUACAAAUGUUAUACCAAAAGCAUCUGAAAGACGUAGGCCUUGUCUACACUAAAGGGAAAAGUCGAUCUAAGCUAUGCAAUUUGAGUUACGUGAAUAGCAAGUCUUGGAGCCCGGGGAUCGCGGCAUGCCCCGGUGACAAAUAAGGUGGGGAGAAAGAUGGCGGGGGGGGGCCCGGAACCUCCGUAACUUAUAAGUGAACUAACUACGCUAUACUAACCAACUAGAACUAUCUACAGUGAAAACCAAAAGUACUGCUAAGCCGCUUGCCGAAGCAGAGUAAGGGGAAGUUCCAGCUACCGUCACUGGCAGUAAGAAGGAACUGAGGUGGUGAUGGGUCGGCAGGGCCCUUUAUUGUGUGCCAUGAAGGCACGACUCCAGGAGUGCCCAAGCCGACCCCACAGAUGCUAGGGGAAAAAUCUUCCAGCUACUGUGCACGUGCGCGCGCACACACCUGAUUGGAAUUGACAUGAACAAGCACUCCAAGAAGAACCAUUACUUCUUCAAGGAGUGUCCCUAUGGGUGCUCCACAUUAGAUGACUACCAAGCAGUUCACUCUAAAGAGUGUGUGGUGGGGGGGUGCUUCAGAGUUGAGUCCAGUAGCAAAGAAACACAACCGAGUUGAACACUCCAUCAGAAGCAAAGUCAUGAGUUAUUGAGUAGUGUUCAGCAAAUGUAUGUAUAGAGACCCUUACAUAUUUCAAUAAUGGUCAUAUUUUUGAGGAAUGCUGUAAAGGUGGAAAUGGACCUCGUAGAGUAAAUACAUAUGUUCAAAGGUAUUUGAAUAUUACAAGACUCGUAGCAAGAAUUAAUGCAGAUGGAUAUCCUCUUGGAAAGACUUUGAUUAGAGAUUACAGGGACUUUUAAUCUACCUGCAAGCAAGACAAACAAUUUGGGGGUCUUUCUAUCCAGCUAGGCGGCCAGGGCUCUUCUGAUGUCAAGGUUGUACAACUGUGCUUCCUGAUUAUCUAGGGGAGUCUUAGGGUGGAAGAAUGGCAGGAGAAUGGAUUGGUUAAUAUGGAACUGGAAGAAAUUUUAGGUAUAAACAUUUUGGAUGGGGUCACAGCAUGACCUGUCCUUAAAAAAUACUGUGAAAGCAGGGCACGCCAUAAAGGCCCCUACUUUAGCCAUCACUUGGAGAUCAGGAAUGUCAUUUUCAUUGAUAAAUGGAGCAGUGAGCAUGUAGCCAUUUGUUCAAAUGGUGGUCUUGUGAGGCAUUUAGGUACUAGAUUAAGGAUCCAAACAGCAGUAGGAUGCUUGACUGGCAGAUCAAGGUUCCUCAGGGAACUCGGAAAUCUCUCUGUCAUUGGGUGUGCAAAAAUGGAAUAUCCCUCUAUUGGAGAGUGGAAAGCCCUGAUGGCUCCCAGAUGGACUCUGACAGAGUUCAGCGAGAGUCCAGAACUUUUUAGUGUUAGGAUAUAGUCCAGUAUAUCUGGCAGUGAUAAGGUCAUCGGUGGAAUAUAUCUGAGGUCACACCAAGAGAGAAAUCUGGUCCAUUUUUGAGAGUAUGUACAGCGAAUAUACACUUUCUACCUGUGUAAUAGCACUUUUUUUACUUCCUCUGAUCAGGUAGUCUCUAAUCCCGUGAACCAUCGACCAAUCAUGCUUUGAGACAAAACACUGUGAAACUGGAGUGAAGGAUCUUCCUGCCUUCCUGGGAGAGGAGACGAGGAGUGGCAUGAAGUGUGAUUGGGGAGCAAACGGCCAAUUAUAUUACGUAAGGAAUACAUGUUUGCUGGGCCAGGUCAGAACUAUUAAGAUGACUCUGACUUUGUCUCUUUUUAUUUUGAGGAGAACAUUGGCUAUUAGAGGAGUCUGUAGGAAUGCAUACAGGAGAUCCGACAACCAAUGAAGGUGAAUAACAUCCCUCAAGGAUCGGUGACCCAGUACGCCUCUCAAGCAAAACUGGAUGGAAGAUGUAGAAAUACGUUUGUAGAAGACUAUAAUUUAGAGACGUUCCCUCGUAAGUGACAAGAUUAUGAACAUAGGAAUUUGGACAUGUGCUCUGGAGAUUGAACACUAAGAAGAAAAAGCAAUAUGGAAAGGCUAAAUCUGCCUCUCUCCAGUGAUCUGGAAAAUAGUCUAAAAUUAUGCUAUGUGAAGGAGUGUAAAAUGCUAAGAAAAGUUAUUAGGAAGGGGCUAUGCCUUUGUGGCUUCCCAAGUUAGGAAACAUGUAGUUAUGGGACCAGGAAAAAGUUAGUUCAGGGAUCCUAAUAUACAAUGUAAGUAGAAAUAUAUCUAUUUAUAGUCAUUCUGAGCACAGGUCAAAUAAUAGUGCCAUCCUUCAAUGCAGACUCCCCCCAAAAUGGGAAUAAGUAACAAAGACUGUCAUCUCUCAGAUGAAGUGGGGACAAUGGGGCAGACGCAUCCACCCAGUCAUGCAGCAGUGGAAUGUGACUGAUAUCAAAAGGCAUUGAACAAGUGGUAGAAGUCCACUGAAGAUCCUUUCAACAACAUUUUAUGUGAUUGCUUCCUGCAGUGACCUCACAACUGCUGCCAUGACUGGCAGGUAGGGGAAUCCUUAUUGGCUGCCACAGUGCUGUGACUGGAAAAAUACCACAAUCACUUCUUUAAGCAUAUUGAAAGAUGAUGUAACAAAUCUGAAGAUUUUCUUGAGGAUUUGAGGGGAGACGGGGGUUUUAACUUUUUAUUAAAGUUGGUCCAGAGCCUCUUACUAUUUUUUGGUACAUACAACACCUAUUUCCAUGCUGGUUCAACACUUAUUUACAACAUUAGAAAAUAAAUUUCAUAGUUAUCAAACAACCUCCCAGUAUCCACCACCAUUUUCCCCCUAACCUACUGAUACAUUCUAACACUGAGUGGCUAAUUCACUGGUCUACAAUUUUUGAGAAGUCGUCUGCUUCAGAGAUAAAAUGUGCUAUUUAUUAUGUAUUUUGAUGUGCUGAAUUCAAAUAUGACAAUUAAAACAACUG